GCCUCCGGAGGGGAACCCCUGCCCGUGAGUAAUCUCCCCUUGCAAAUGUUAAAGAAAAUAAAGCUGCCUCUGGCCUGUUGCAGCCAACCUCAGAGUGAGAGCUUGUUUUUCUCCCACAAUUUGGUGCCGUGACUCAGAUGGCAAGCGCCUGGCUGAGACAGCAACAAACUACUACGGACUGUUCCCCUGCAAACCCCAUGGUGUCCCAAUAGAGUUUUCCAGAGGAAGUGAGGGCACGCUUGGCGUGCUGGUGGCUGGAGCCGCCCUUGCUCACAAGCUUGUACCUCCCGGGAAGGUCCUUUGCCUGGAUUGCAUGGCCAGUGGUUCACCGCGUUGCAUUCCAUCGUGCCUCAGGAAGACUUACCUUCAUUGCACCAUCCAUCAUUGCGCUGUGGAACACUUACCUUGAAGAAUCCUGACAUCUCCGGUGCCAUGCCUGUCCUGGGAGCAUGAGUAUAUUCUUCACUACAAAGCUGUCUAUUGUGACUGUGGAAGCAUUGUGACAUGAUUCAUCUGCGUUCUGCCAUGUGAAGAACACCAUUACCUGGAUAAGGGUGUUAGCAAAAUACAAAGGGGGAGAUAAAACAAAAAAGUACCCCUCUCUGCAUUAUACAUUCUUAGCUCUUUUGCUCAAUGUGCAUUUUUCUGUAUGGGAGGGGUCGUGAAAGACCUGCCUCUGCUUUCAUUGAAAUCCCUGGGGGUAGAGGGGAAGUAUUUUGAAAAAGCCAGAGCAGUGUUCAAAUACUUGAAGCCAUUAAAUAGGCAGAGUGUGGAAAGCCCAACAAUUAACCCACCUAGGAGGACCUCAUGAAGUGCCAGGUGCUUCUGAAUUAUACUCCAAAAAAGUAAGGAUUGAGGUGAGUGUUGUGUUGUCAUCCAUUCAGCAAGUGUAUUCACUAAGA